ensembl:snRNA LOC120096464 U6 spliceosomal RNA
UCGCUUUGGCAGCCUACAUAUUAAAAUUGGACAGAUACAGAGAAGAUUGUUAUUGUGACCCCUGUAUAAGGAUGGCAUUUUAAUUUAUGAUGUAGUUCAUAAUUUA